rnacentral:rRNA from 1 species
UACGUAGGGAGCAAGCGUUGUCCGGAAUCAUUGGGCGUAAAGCGCGCGUAGGCGGCCCUGUAAGUCCGUUGUGAAAGUCAAAGGCUCAACCUUUGAAAGCCGAUGGAUACUGCAGGGCUAGAGUCCGGAAGAGGCGAGUGGAAUUCCUGGUGUAGCGGUGGAAUGCGCAGAUAUCAGGAGGAACACCAAUAGCGAAGGCAGCUCGCUGGGACGGUACUGACGCUAAGGCGCGAAAGCGUGGGAGCGAACAGG